rnacentral:rRNA from 1 species
AUUGAACGCUGGCGGCAUGCCUUACACAUGCAAGUCGAACGGCAGCACGGGAGCAAUCCUGGUGGCGAGUGGCGAACGGGUGAGUAAUGUAUCGGAACGUACCAUUGAGUGGGGGAUAACGUAGCGAAAGUUACGCUAAUACCGCAUAUACCCUGAGGGGGAAAGCAGGGGAUCGCAAGACCUUGUGCUCUUUGAGCGGCCGAUAUCAGAUUAGCUUGUUGGUGAGGUAAAGGCUCACCAAGGCGACGAUCUGUAGCGGGUCUGAGAGGAUGAUCCGCCACACUGGAACUAAGACACGGUCCAGACUCCUACGGGAGGCAGCAGUGGGGAAUUUUGGACAAUGGGGGCAACCCUGAUCCAGCCAUGCCGCGUGAGUGAAGAAGGCCUUCGGGUUGUAAAGCUCUUUCGGCCGGGAGGAAAUCGCAUCAGCUAAUACCUGGUGUGGAUGACAGUACCGGAAUAAGAAGCACCGGCUAACUACGUGCCAGCAGCCGCCGUAAGAC